rnacentral:rRNA from 1 species
UGAGGAAUAUUGCACAAUGGGCGCAAGCCUGAUGCAGCGACGCCGCGUGGGUGAAGAAGGUCUUCGGAUCGUAAAGCCCUUUUCUGCGUGACGAGACAGGACGGUAGCGCAGGAAUAAGUCUCGGCUAACUACGUGCCAGCAGCCGCGGUAAAACGUAGGAGACAAACGUUAUCCGGAGUUACUGGGCGUAAAGGGCGUGUAGGCGGUCUGUUAAGUCUGGCGUGAAAGCUCUCGGCUAAACCGGGAGAGGUCGUUGGAUACUGGCACGACUGGAGGAUGGUAGAGGCGUGUGGAAUUCCGGGUGUAGUGGUGAAAUGCGUAGAGAUCCGGAGGAACACCAGUGGCGAAGGCGACACGCUGGGCCAUACCUGACGCUAAAGCGCGACAGCAUGGGGAGCAAACGG